AUUUAUAAACGAUCCCUCUUCUCACGAUAAACACUGAAACUGAAAGUAUGGCUUCUAAUGUGAAUGAAUUGGAUAAAUUAGAGCAAUUAAUUCGCUCUAGAAUGAAUCGGCAAAGUAUCGGCAAAGUGCGGCUCGUGCCCAAGCUUUCAUGAUGCAAAGGAAGCGCGCUAGAAUUGCUGGAGCUGUGUUAUCCUUGAUUACCGUCGGCAUUUAUGGCUAUACUAUCCAUGCGAUUAAACAGGAGAAGCUGUUUGAUGACGAUGAUGAUACAAAAUCAUAGCUGUUAGAUUUACCAUAUAAUGGAGGAAAUCUUUUGUUGUAACCUAAAUAUUGCUCAUUUAUAGUAUUUUCAGCGCGAGUCAUGUGUACAAAAUUAUAAAAAAUAAAUCAAAGCAAAAUGAGUUAAUGAUUGUGAA